CGCGAAGAACCUUACCAAGGCUUGACAUACACCGGAAAGCAUCAGAGAUGGUGCCCCCCUUGUGGUCGGUGUACAGGUGGUGCAUGGCUGUCGUCAGCUCGUGUCGUGAGAUGUUGGGUUAAGUCCCGCAACGAGCGCAACCCUUGUCCCGUGUUGCCAGCAGGCCCUUGUGGUGCUGGGGACUCACGGGAGACCGCCGGGGUCAACUCGGAGGAAGGUGGGGACGACGUCAAGUCAUCAUGCCCCUUAUGUCUUGGGCUGCACACGUGCUACAAUGGCCGGUACAAUGAGCUGCGAUACCGCGAGGUGGAGCGAAUCUCAAAAAGYCGGUCUCAGUUCGGAUUGGGGUCUGCAACUCGACCCCAUGAASUCGGAGUCGSUAGUAAUCGCAGAUCAGCAUUGCUGCGGUGAAUACGUUCCCGGGUCUUGUACACACCGACCC
rnacentral:rRNA from 1 species